AUUGAACGCUGGCGGCAGGCCUAACACAUGCAAGUCGAACGAGUGGCGGACGGGUGAGUAAUGGCUGGGAAACUGCCUGAUGGAGGGGGAUAACUACUGGCUACGGGAGCUAAUACCGCAUACCAUCAGAUGUGCCCAGGUGGGAUUAGCUUGUUGGUGGGGUAACGGCUAACCAAGGCGACGAUCCCUAGCUGGUCCGAGAGGAUGACCAGCCACACUGGAACUGAGACACGGUCCAGACUCCUACGGGAGGCAGAAGUGGGGAAUAUUGCACAAGGGGCGCAAGCCUGCUGAAGCCAUGCCGCGUGUAUGAAGAAGGCCUUCGGGUUGUAAAGUACUUUCAGCGGGGAGGCGGUACCCGAAGAAGAAGCACCGGCUAACUCCGUGCCAGCAGCCGCGGUAAUUC
rnacentral:rRNA from 1 species